rnacentral:rRNA from 1 species
UGACUNGAGUGCAGAAGGGGAGAGUGGAAUUCCAUGUGUAGCGGUGAAAUGCGUAGAUAUAUGGAGGANCACCAGUGGCGAAAGCGGCUCUCUGGUCUGUCACUGACGCUGAGGCUNGAAAGCGUGGGUAGCGAACAGGAUUAGAUACCCUGGUAGUNCACGCCGUAAACGAUGAGUGCUAGGUGUUAGGCCCUUUCCGGGGCUUAGUGCCGGAGCUAACGCAAUAAGCACUCCGCCUGGGGAGUACGACCGCAAGGUUGAAACUCAAAGGAAUUGACGGGGGCCCGCACAAGCGGUGGAGCAUGUGGUUUAAUUCGAAGCAACGCGAAGAACCUUACCAGGUCUUGACAUCCCGAUGCUAUUCUUAGAGAUAGGAAGUUACUUCGGUACAUCGGAGACAGGUGGUGCAUGGUUGUCGUCAGCUCGUGUCGUGAGAUGUUGGGUUAAGUCCCGCAACGAGCGCAACCCUUAUUGUUAGUUGCCAUCAUUAAGUUGGGCACUCUAGCGAGACUGCCGGUAAUAAACCGGAGGAAGGUGGGGAUGACGUCAAAUCAUCAUGCCCCUUAUGACCUGGGCUACACACGUGCUACAAUGGUCGGUACAACGAGUUGCAAGCCGGUGACGGCAAGCUAAUCUCUGAAAGCCGAUCUCAGUUCGGAUUGGAGGCUGCAACUCGCCUCCAUGAAGUCGGAAUCGCUAGUAAUCGCGGAUCAGCACGCCGCGGUGAAUACGUUCCCGGGCCUUGUACACACCGCCCGUCACACCACGAGAGUUUGUAACACCCGAAGUCGGUGAGGUAACCUUUUAG